rnacentral:rRNA from 1 species
UACGUAGGGUGCAAGCGUUACUCGGAAUUACUGGGCGUAAAGCGUGCGUAGGUGGUCGUUUAAGUCUGUGGUGAAAGCCCUGGGCUCAACCUGGGAAUUGCGAUGGAUACUGGGCGACUAGAGUGUGGUAGAGGAUAGUGGAAUUUCCGGUGUAGCAGUGAAAUGCGUAGAGAUCGGAAGGAACAUCUGUGGCGAAGGCGACUAUCUGGGCCAACACUGACACUGAGGCACGAAAGCGUGGGGAGCAAACAGG